rnacentral:rRNA from 1 species
UACGUAGGGUGCAAGCGUUGUCCGGAAUUAUUGGGCGUAAAGAGCUUGUAGGCGGUUUGUCGCGUCUGCUGUGAAAUUUCGGGGCUCAACCCCGAACUUGCAGUGGGUACGGGCAGACUAGAGUGUGGUAGGGGAGACUGGAAUUCCUGGUGUAGCGGUGAAAUGCGCAGAUAUCAGGAUGAACACCGAUGGCGAAGGCAGGUCUCUGGGCCAUAACUGACGCUGAGAAGCGAAAGCAUGGGGAGCGAACAGG